rnacentral:rRNA from 1 species
AUUGAACGCUGGCGGCAUGCUUUACACAUGCAAGUCGAACGGUAACAGGUCUUCGGAUGCUGACGAGUGGCGAACGGGUGAGUAAUGCAUCGGAACGUGCCCAGUCGUGGGGGAUAACGCAGCGAAAGCUGUGCUAAUACCGCAUACGAUCUAUGGAUGAAAGCGGGGGACCGUAAGGCCUCGCGCGAUUGGAGCGGCCGAUGUCAGAUUAGCUAGUUGGUGGGGUAAAGGCCCACCAAGGCGACGAUCUGUAGCUGGUCUGAGAGGACGACCAGCCACACUGGGACUAAGACACGGCCCAGACUCCUACGGGAGGCAGCAGUGGGGGAUUUUGGACAAUGGGCGCAAGCCUGAUCCAGCAAUGCCGCGUGCAGGAAGAAGGCCUUCGGGUUGUAAACUGCUUUUGUACGGAACGAAACGGUCUGGGUUAAUACCCUGGGCUAAUGACGGUACCGUAAGAAUAAGCACCGGCUAACUACGUGCCAGCAGCCGCGGUAACAC